rnacentral:rRNA from 1 species
AGGACGAACGCUGGCGGCGUGCUUAACACAUGCAAGUCGAGCGGUAAGGCCUUUCGGGGUACACGAGCGGCGAACGGGUGAGUAACACGUGGGUGAUCUGCCCUGCACUUCGGGAUAAGCCUGGGAAACUGGGUCUAAUACCGGAUAUGACCUCCUAUCGCAUGGUGGGUGGUAGGAAAGAUUUUAUCGGUGCAGGAUCGGGCCCGCGGCCUAUCAGUCUUGUUAGGUGGGUAAUGGCCUACCGAAGCGACGACGGGUACGCCGACCUGGAG